rfam:Schizosaccharomyces cryophilus OY26 unplaced genomic scaffold supercont4.4, whole genome shotgun sequence.
GCCUACGGCUACACCUAGGCGAAAACACCAGUUCCCGUCCGAUCACUGCAGUUAAUUGAAAACGUCUAAGUUCGUACUAUAGUUGGAGACAACAUGGAGAUCCGGCGUGCUGUAGGCU